rnacentral:rRNA from 1 species
UACGUGGGGUGCAAACGUUGCUCGGAAUCAUUGGGCGUAAAGCGCACGUAGGCGGUUUGUCGCGUCGGGAGUGAAAUCCACUGGCUUAACUGGUGGCUUGCUUUCGAUACGGGCAGACUGGAGGUAUGCAGGGGAGAACGGAAUUCCUGGUGUAGCGGUGAAAUGCGUAGAUAUCAGGAGGAACACCUGCGGUGUAGACGGCUUUCUGGACCAUUGUUGACGCUGAGACACGAAAGCGUGGGUAGCAAACAGG